UAUUACAGGCACUUGAACCAAAUAUUUACAGCAUGACUAAACACUAAGAGCUGUUGCGGUCUGGCUGACGAAAGGUAAUUUUUUCACCAUCGGGGAUCCCCAGUCCUUGGUCGACAUAAGACCGCCAGCACAUACUGAGAUCCUCACGAAUCAGCCUUCUUAGGACCCCUCCCCUCGCAAUCCGGACUCUCAUCAAAGUUCUUCGCCGGGUACUUCGCCGAUGCAACCCCAACCUCAAACACAAGAUCAUCUCCCGAAGACCGGAUCCCUGUAAUCGACCACCAGCGGAAGAAUGCCCAGACGCGAAUCCCGUCGAGCCCCUCGAUCUUGCGGUCAUGGAGCCGGCCGGUGAUGCGAUGGGAGUAGGAGGCGAGGUAGUUGUCCGGGGGGAGCGUGAUGCGGCAGUCGGGGCCGUCGAGGUCGACGGCGAAGUCGCCGGAGGUGCGGUUGAGGGUGUAGGCCAGGACGUUGGUGGGGAGGAGGCCGAUGGGAAAGCCGCUGUGGAGGAGCUCAGAGUGGGCGGUGUUGGGGGUGGAGAGGGCGAGGGAGAGGGAGGCGAGGUGGAGGAGGGCGGCGGCGGCGGCG
rnacentral:misc_RNA from 1 species